rnacentral:rRNA from 1 species
CCUACGGGAGGCUGCAGUGAGGAAUAUUGGUCAAUGGUCGGGAGACUGAACCAGCCAAGCCGCGUGAGGGAUGAAGGUACAGAGUAUCGUAAACCUCUUUUGUCAGGGAACAAAGGCGGGGAUGUGUCCCCGGAUGAGUGUACCUGAAGAAAAAGCAUCGGCUAACUCCGUGACAGCAGCCGCGGUAAUACGGAGGAUGCGAGCUUUAUCCGGAUUUAUUGGGUUUAAAGGGUGCGCAGGCGGUCUGUUAAGUAAGCGGUCAAAGCCCGGGGCUCAACCCCGGCCCGCCGUUGAAACUGGCAGUCGCGAGUUGGAGAGAGGUAUGCGGAAUGCGCGGUGUAGCGGUGAAAUGCAUAGAUAGCGCGCAGAACUCCGAUUGCGAAGGCAGCAUGCCGGCUCCACACUGACGCUGAGGCACGAAAGCGUGGGUAUCGAACAGGAGUAGAUACCCGAGUAGUC